UACGGAGGGUGCAAGCGUUGUUCGGAAUUACUGGGCGUAAAGGGGAGGCAGGCGGUCUUGUGUGUCGAGGGUGAAAGCCCGGGGCUUAACCCCGGAGGGUCCUUCGAAACUACAAGACUAGAGUCCCAGAGAGGAUAGCAGAAUUCCCGGUGUAGCGGUGAAAUGCGUAGAGAUCGGGAGGAAUACCAGUGGCGAAGGCGGCUAUCUGGAUGGGAACUGACGCUGAACUCCGAAAGCGUGGGUAGCAAAC
rnacentral:rRNA from 1 species